rnacentral:rRNA from 1 species
UACGUAGGGGGGCUAGCGUUGUCCGGAUUUAUUGGGCGUAAAGAGCGUGUAGGCGGCCAGGUAGGUCUGCUGUGAAAACUCGAGGCUCAACCUCGAGACGUCGGCGGAAACCAUCUGGCUAGAGUCCGGAAGAGGAGAGUGGAAUUCCUGGUGUAGCGGUGAAUGCGCAGAUAUCAGGAAGAACACCCGUGGCGAAGGCGGCUCUCUGGGACGGUACUGACGCUGAGACGCGAAAGCGUGGGGAGCGAACAGG